AUGUCAACUAUUCAACAUGGAGGCGGAGGUCGAUAAGCUGGAACUGAUGUUCCAGAAAGCUGACUCUGACCUGGACUACAUUCAGUACAGGCUGGAAUAUGAAAUCAAGACUAAUUAUCCUGAUUCAGCAGGCAAGAAAAAUCCAGUUACACUUUUAAAGGAAUUGUCAGCAAUAAAGUCUCGAUAUCAAACUUUGCAAGUUCGCUUUAAACCAAUUGCUGGGGCGCAGAAAGAGACUAAGAGCCGCAUUUGUGCUACUUUCAGUAAGACUAUGACCUUGAUACAGGAACUGCAGAAGCAAACAGACCUGGAGUUGUUACCACUGACUGAAGAAGAGAAAACUGCGGCAGAGCAAUUAAGAGCUCACCUGUCAGACUUAUGAGGAAGAAAUGGACUUGCAAAAAGGAACUCUGAUGGGGAAGAAAUCAAUCCCAUAAAUUUAGGAAGAUGUCUUGUUAACAUUGAUGACUAUUGGUCGGGAGAUGACAAAGGAGAUUUGGUUUGGGUGACUGGAUAGUGAUGCCUUCCACAGAAGAGGGGGAUACAAGAGAAGGGCAGAUAUUGUAUUAAUAAAGUUCAGCCAAAGGGGCAGAAUGGAAAUAAAGAGAUUUUAAAAAUAUAUGCACACAUGCUUAGUAAUUUCAGGCAAGGAAAUCCCAACACCAUUUUGUAUCUGUUUUUGUAUAACUGGGAUAACACAGAUGUCCUGACUGACCUAUUGCAAAAGAAUAUUACAUACUGUCAGUCAGUCAGAUGUGAAUGAACAUGCUUGGGAAAUUAAAGGUUAGAAAAAUAUUUGUACUAUA